rnacentral:pre_miRNA from 1 species
UAAGUGAAUGCUUUGCCACAGUCUUAGCAAUGAAAUAAGCUGGGCUGAGGUUCACUUAGGC